UACGUAGGGGGCAAGCGUUGUCCGGAAUCAUUGGGCGUAAAGCGCGUGUAGGCGGUUCGGUAAGUCUGCUGUGAAAGUCCAGGGCUCAACCCUGGGAUGCCGGUGGAUACUGUCGGACUAGAGUACGGAAGAGGCGAGUGGAAUUCCCCGGUGUAGCGGUGAAAUGCGCAGAUAUCGGGAGGAACACCAAUUGCGAAGGCAGCUCGCUGGGACGUCACUGACGCUGAGACGCGAAAGCGUGGGAGCAAACAGG
rnacentral:rRNA from 1 species